rnacentral:rRNA from 1 species
GGCAAUGCCCGAAAGGGUUACCCAGCAACGCCGCGUGGAGGAUGAAGGUCGUAAGAUUGUAAACUCCUGUUAGAGGGGAAGAAUAACUAAGUUUGGAGCUUAGUAUGAAUGUACCCUCAGAGAAAGCCCCGGCUAACUACGUGCCAGCAGCCGCGGUAAUCCGUAGGGGGCAAGCGUUUUCCGGAUUUACUGGGUGUAAAGGGCGUGCAGGCGGAAUGGAAAGUCAGUGGUGAAAUCCUACAGCUUAACUGUAGAACUGCCUUUGAUACUUUCAUUCUUGGGUUCGGGAGAGACAGACGGAAUUCCAGGGGUAGUGGUGAAAUACGUAGAUAUCUGGAAGAACACCAGUUGCGAAGGCGGUCUCUUGGUCCGAUACUGACGCUGAGGCGCGAAAGCGUGGGGAGCAAACA